GUGAGGACUGGGGAGGUGGAGGGUAGCAUCAUUAGAGCCAGAGCUCUGUCUCAGCUCCCCCUCCCCCCACCUCUUCUCUCCUCAG
ensembl:miRNA Mir1224 microRNA 1224